AUUAAUUCCCAAGUAAUAAAAUCUGAUCCUUUUGUGGAAAAGAAGCUGUAAGGCCCCUUUCUUAUUGGCCUGGGAGAAAUAUCUAAAAGGGCAGUUUGUAGGGGAGGGAACUUUGAUCCUAGAGAUCCCUCUCUAUUUCCAGGACCCCAAUAUUUUGGCGAAUCACCCAAUUAACGCUCUAUAUAUUAAAUUCUGGCCCCAACAGUGUAAGGUGUCCAAGGUCAGAUUUGAACGCAGGUCCUCCUGAAUCCAGGGCUGGUGCUCUAUCCACUGUGCCACCUAGCUGCCCCAACUAUAUUAUUUCUAAAAGCCUUUCUACUUCUAGCAUUGUCCAGCCACUCCAUACCCCCAUUAGUGUAUCCUCUGAAUUCCUGUCAUUUUGUGGUGAUUUCUAACAGAGAGUUCUCUCCCAACUCAUUGUUGUAAUCAAAGAAAGGGAUUUCAUUUGAUGGUUUGUUCUUCCCUUAUCCUUCACUGAUACUGGACCCACUGGUCACUGUAACGGAUAUGUUAUGACACUUUGAGGCUUAUGAAUUAUUUAUGCUUGCCUCAUUUAAUUUGUUCCACACACCAAUCAUACAAUUUCCUUCCUUUUUAGAAAAGAAAAAGCAAGGGAUCAAAAGGAGAAUGCAAACCCAGUUCUUUCCUGAUUUGAGACCUCAUGCACUUUACACAUUAUGCCCUUAAUUCAUGUGAAUGUAAAGAGCAUGUAAAGAAGAGCAUAACUGAUGAUAGCCUGGCAUAAUGUUUGCAAAGGGGCCAAAUAUAUUUUUCCCAGCAGAAUGGACAUUUUUCCAUGAAAACAAGAGUGUGAAUUAACACUGAAUGAAAACCACUGAGAUUUGGCACAGUACUUUUUUUUUUUUUUUUUGGUGAGCCAAUUAGUGUUAAGUGACUUGUCUAGGGUCACACAGCUAGUAAGUGUUAAGUGUCUGAUGCCGGAUUUGAACUCAGGUCCCCCUGACUUCAGGGCCGGUGCUCUAUCCACUGCGCCACCUAGCUGCCCUGGCAUAGUUCUUUCUGCUGAGAAGAGGAUUGACAUUCAUUCCUUACAUUGACUGUUUGAUGUGGACAGACUCUUCAUAGGUUUCCUCUCAGGAUUUCCCCCAAGACUUUGAGUUUCCCACUGAACAACCCAUGGCCUGAGUUUUCACUGAGGCACUGAGUUUUGAAGAAGGGAGGCAACAAGUCAAUGUAUCAAUUUCUCUUAGCAUCACCAGAUGAAUGAGCCUCCUGUUUGCCUUAAAUAAGUUAAAUCAUUUUAUGUUCAGAUUUCUUUGUAAAUUAGUCUGAGGACAUUGAAAGACACACUAGUUGAAAACUUGAUAGCCUUUAUAAUGACCACAACAGAUGAUGGCUUUAGUAUCUUCUCCAAAUAUUCAGCUGCUUAUAGUGGCUUAGAGCCAUGUAUGUUUGAGCUUUUCAACCUAGAAGGGAAAAAUGGGCUCUUUAGAAUUGAAAUAGUGCAAAGAAUUUCUAUUUAGUAAUGCCUUUCAUCAGUGUGGCCAUGGAAAAACACAUUUCUCAAAACACAGUUGCUUUAGGAAGAAAAAGUAUGAAAGCAGCUCACAUCACAGGACAAAUAUCCUCAUUCUCAGUUAAACAAACAUUGGAACACUAUGGCAGAAAAGUACUUUUUGCCAAAGAAAAUGAUAUAGAUGUAUGACUGAUCAGUUGAGCUUGAUUUUAACAGGAGCCAAAGGAACCCUUCAAACGAGCACUCUGAAAAGGACAUUUUUUUCAUGCAGGUCACUGUGGCAUGACAUGAUACUGUAAUAGUUGCACUGAACUCAUAUGCCUCCCAGAGGGCCAAAAUUACAGCCAGAACCCUGACAGAACAUCGGGUCCACUCUGUGGGAGGUUUGAAAGCAUUCUGUAAACUUUAAGGCACUAUAUAAAAUCAUAUGAUACUUAAGGAUUUGAGUUAGGUGGGAACACAUGGGGAAAAGUUGCAGAGUCGAAAUCUAGGCCUGGUGUCAGGAAAAACAAAAUGUUCUAACAAUGAGAGCUGCCUUAAGGUGAGAUGGGCUCCCAUGAAGUGAUGCUUUGACCCUCCUUGCCGUUCUUCAAUCCGAGGCUGCAUGACCACAUCUCAGGCCCUGAUGCAAAGUGGGGUAAGGUUGUCAUCCAAGGGAUGACUUGAGAGCUCCCCUGAGGGGACAAGGGCUCCCUGGCUCAGACCUUGGCAGCCCAACUCCCUGACUCCAUAAAAUUCUUGAAGAAGAGAUCAGCAAUAUGAGACAAGGGCCCCCAGAGAUGCUCUGCCUCAGCCUGUCCAGGGACCCAUUUUGGCAAGGUGCCCAGACCAGCCAAUCUUCAUUCCCAUCUUGCUUCUGGUUUCCAGACCUCCACACCAUGCCUCAGCUGCAGGCUCACCCUGAAAAAUCCCUCAGCACCUUGAACUCACCCUGGCCAACCUGCAAUCUACUCCUUGCACCUGAAUUGCUUACACCUUAAGUGGUAGCAGUAACAGGUUUGCUAUUAGUAUGUUCAUGUUCUCUGGGGGUAAUUCGGUACCCUGCUACUUUCUGGAGGAGUACUGGGCAGGAGAAGAAUUGUAUUAGGAUUGAGUGCCCCUGUUUUGGAAGAAUACCCAGUCUUCUUCACUGGAAAUAUCACACCUGGUGAUCAAAGCUGAUCAGAAAGCCUUUCUGGAUCUUUUUUUUUUUUUGAUGAGGCAAUUGGGGUUAAGUGACUUGCCCAGGGUCACACAGCUAGUAAGUGUCAAUUGUCUGGGGCCAGAUUUGAGCUCAGGUACUCCUGACUCCAGGGCCAGUGUUCUAUCUACUGCGCCACCUAGCUGCCCCUGUUCAGAAAGCCUUUCUACUACCAGUGGACAGUCUCCUCUGAAAAUGCUUUGCUGAAAGAUGCUUGUAUCUGGUCUCACCACCUGCUCAUUAAAAAGUCCUCCUCGCUCUCCUUUGGAGAAUAGGUGGUUGCUAAUAGUUCCCAGUCAAGAUUGGCCCCCUCCAUUCUCUGGGGCUAUUUUCUAAAGGGGAAAGCUGCCUAGUUUAUCAAUAACUGGGUAUGGGUCAGUUUUCCAUGGGCCACCUAACUUGGGAGUCUUUUGAAUGCCAAGGUUUCUCAGCAGAACUCUAUCUCCUAGUUAAAAGCUUUGACACUCUACUGCAGCAUCAUCAUGACUUUUGUAUUUGUCACAGCUCCUCUGAGAUGAAGCCUUGGCUUGCUGGUAUGUGCCUUUCACUUGCCUCACCUAUAAAAUGCACCCUGUGUUAGUACUGAACUUAUCUCCUUGAUCUAAGGUACAAAGAGUCAAUUAGUAUGCAUGCUUCUCCCUCAAACUUGAACAGUCACAGUCCAAUGCCUGCAGAUUAAUUCAUACCAGAAUUACUUGCGUGUGCUAGAAAUUACACAUGUUGACUUGACUGGAUGUUUUCUUUAUGUCUCACACUUACCAGUUUUCAUCAUGGUUGUUUGAAUUAGGGGCUGCAGGAGGCUGAGACCAAAUAGAAGACAAUCCAAUGUGGAACUGCUGAUGUGGAGCAUCCAUCUCCUCCCCAAACAGCACUCAGACUUCUCCAGAGACUUCCUGAGGAAAAGAGUCUCUCUCUCUCUCUCUCUCUCUCUCUCUCUCUCUCUCUCUCUCUCUCUCUCUCUCUCUCUCUCUCUCUCUCUCUCACACACACACACACAAACACACACACACACACGACUUGCUGUGGUACAAGCCAGGUAUCUGGCCAAAUUGGAAAGAAAAUAAACCCACAGAUAGCAAAUUAAGGGAGAGCAAGAAAAAACAAGGUUUGUGGGAGGGACAGACUCCUGGGACACAUUGGCCUUAUACUCAAGACACGACUGCUUCUGCAAGAUCAACAGCCAGGGAAGGGAGUAGUCAUGUUUAGGGUAUGGAAAUCCAAGGUCACCUGUGGAGGGGGAAAGAUCAUUCAUUGUCAUGUAGCUCCUUGUUUUAGCUCAUGCUUCUCCUUAUUGCUGAGACAGCCAGCCCCAAGUUAUGGCAGAUGAGACCCAAUCAGGAGGCUGUUCCCAUGGAUGAGGUAAGAGUGUGGAAAGCCAUACUCUUCUGUGAGUAGAGAGAAAGGGAUGCAUGGGAUGAAUAUUAAACAAGGAGAAAAGGCAAGAUUUGGCAGUUGGUUGAGGAAGAUGGAUCUGUUGAGGAUCACUCUGAGGUUAUGAAUUGAGUGCUUGGAAGAAUAUAGCUAGAAGUUAGUUUCCAAAAGAACAAAUCUAAACUAUCAACAGCCAUAUGAAAAAUGCAGCCAAAAUUAGAAUGAAAGCCAGAAAUGAGAAACUUUCGAACAGCAAGCUUCUCAUAUAAAAAAUUUACUUCUCAGAUAUAUAUAUAUAUAUAUAUGAAACUGAACUAAAUUUAUAAACACAAGAGCUUUUUCCCCAAUUGUUAUAUCAUCAAAGAUAUGAACAGGCAGUUUUCAGAGAAUGUAAUCAAAGCUACAAUAGUCAUAUGAAAAUAUGCUCUAAAUCACUAGUUGUUAGAGAAACGCAAAUUAAAACAACUUGGGGAUGCUAGCUCAUACCUAUCAGUUUGGCUAAUAUGAGAGAAAAGAAGAAAUGGCAAAUGUUGAGAGGGGAUGUGGGAAAAGUUAUAAUCUAGUGCACUCCUGGUGGAGCUCUAAACUGCUCCCACCAUUUUGGAGAGCAAUUUGGACCUAUGCCUAAAGGACUAGAAAAGCAUGGAUGACCUUUGACCUGGCAAUACCACUACUAGGUCUGUAUCCAGAACAGAUAAAAAACAAAAUGGAAAAGGACACCUACAUACAUAGAUAUACAGCUUUUGUAGUAGUGGAAAAGAAUUAGAAAAUGA